UACGUGGAGGGCAAGCGUUGUCCGGAAUCAUUGGGCGUAAAGAGCGUGUAGGCGGUCCGGUAAGUCGGCUGUGAAAGUCCAGGGCUCAACCCUGGGAUGCCGGUCGAUACUGCCGGACUAGAGUUCGGAAGAGGCGAGUGGAAUUCCCGGUGUAGCGGUGAAAUGCGCAGAUAUCGGGAGGAACACCUAUGGCGAAGGCAGCUCGCUGGGACGUUACUGACGCUGGAGACGCGAAAGCGUGGGGGACGCAAACAGG
rnacentral:rRNA from 1 species